GGCCUCGUGGUCUAGUGGUAUGAUACUCGCUUAGGGUCAACCCUAAAGCACCAAUUGCGAGUGGCCCCGGGUUCGAGUCCCGGCGAGGCCC
rnacentral:tRNA from 1 species